UGAGGUUCAUGACCAAAUGUUUGCGUGCAAUAAAAAUAAAAUACAUUUGAAAAUUGCUGACAAAUACAACUUUCUGGAUGAAUAUUCAACUGUUAACACAAAUUUAUUUAUGUGUCAUAAAUCAAGUGGAUAAAGUAAUUGUACAUUGGCAGUUCAUUCUAUUUCAGUUCAAAUAUUAUCUGUGUGAAUAUUUUCAUUGCUUUCCUCAUGUACUUCUCUCUGUAUGUUGCAAACAUGAAUGAGUUUAAUUUAAGCUAAAUAAAUAGUGCUAAAUAAAAGUGCUAAAUAGAAGGAAGCCUCGAGGACUGGAUAAUCCUUGCAUGCAUUGUCGUAAUCAUUUAUUUGUGUACCUGAAUUUUAUUCAAUAAGACAAACACAGUUAUUUUAAAAUCGUAAUUGAUGACACCGUAAAUAAAUAAAAACUGAUAAAAAUUAUUAUACGUAAAUUUACCCUCAUACACUCAUAAUUACACCUGGUUUACUCAUCAUGGACCUCUUAGUUGUAUGCUUUAUUUAAAUAUUUGAGGCUGUUUACCCGCAAAUAAUAAUAACAUAAUAAUUAUUUUUGUGGAAAUAUUUGUGUGGCUUUGCUGAAUCUGAUUAGAACUUGCUUCAUCAAAAAAUUUAGUAUACAAAAGGGAAUUAAUGUUUAUUAAUACUGUGUCUUUCAUUGUAUAUUUAAGGUGGAAAUAUUUAUUAUUAUUAUUUCUUUUAUUUUAGACAUUUCUAAAAGAAAGUUUCCAUGAAGCAAGUCUUGAUCCAACAUAUUGCAAUUAUGUAGUAGGUGGAAGAAUAGCAUACCUGUGUUCUGUUCUUGUGGAAGAUACUGCUGUUGUUUUCUGUGGUCCAGGCCCAAGAAUUCUGGUGGCAGUUGAUUUAGAUUUAUGAGAUGCUGUUCCUGCCGAAGAUAGCUCCAACUUAUUUAAUGAAACUGAAACUUAACUUCAAUUUAUUGUACGAAUUGGAAGAUAUGGAGACAAUCUGGCAUGCAUUGGUGCAACUUCUAGGAACCACAGUGCAUACUUACAAUUUUUUACAAAUGGAGUUCUUCCUGAGAAUGGCAUCAACUGGAAGUCGUUGGUGGCAACCAUCAGGUUUCUUUGAAGAUGCCUGCAUUAGAUGAUGACAUUUCUAUUGAUGGUUCUGAAAUCAAUGCAUUUGAGUUAUUGGAUGAUUUGAGAGCAAGGAACUUGAUCCUACAAACUGGUGGUUUGGGCCAUACUCUGAGGAUUCUCCUGAAACUGUGAUAAGAUAUUCACUGCAUAUGUAAUAUCAGGCCUUGUCCUGUUAGCUACAAGAA